CUAUGGAGCCAGGCUGUACUGCCUGAAGAUCCAUGGCCUAUCCUCACUCUGGCGUCUGUUCCGGGGGAAGAAGUGGAAUGUUCUGCGCCAGCGCGUGGACUCCUGUUCCUAUGACCUGGACCAGCUGUUCAUCGGGACUCUGCUCUUCACCAUCCUGCUCUUCCUCCUGCCUACCACAGCCCUGUACUACCUGGUGUUCACCCUGGUGAGCUGAGCACCCACAGCCUGGGCCUGGCUGCAGUGCUCUCUGUGGCUUCUGCCAGCGCUGCCUGGGAGCAGUCAGCUGUGGGGCGGGCUGUCUCCUGCUGCAGGCCACGUGGGUGGCCUUUCAGGACACUCUGGGCAGUGAGUGCUGGGCCCUGGAGUGGGCGAGGCCCUAGCCUGGCCGGGAAGACCCCUUCACUGCCCUGGAGCACGCAGCUGGGUGCUUGGUGGGAGGACCCACGGCAGGUGGGGUCACACAAGAGGCCUCCCCUGGUGCCUGGCUCUGGGGCAGACAGUGGGAGGUGAGCAGAAUCACCUCCAGCACCUGCUUGAUUCCCAGGCCUCGAUCCCCUCUGCAUGUGAGGCUAUGGGGAGGCACCUCUCACCUGGUGGGAGGGCCAACUGCUCCGCCUUCAGCUUUGCUCCAGGGCAAGGCCCAAUGGCAGGCUCCGUGCCCUGCUCAGGGUGGGGUCCCUGCUCUCCCCAGGACCCUGCAGCCUCUGGGCUCCCUUCAUCGUGGCCCAGGAUGGGGUCGGGCUGCUCUGCCCCCAGGCACGUCUGGCCAGGCCGGUCCUAAAUGCUCUUCUGCCACAGCUCCGGCUCCUGGUGGUCACCGUGCAGGGCCUGAUCCAUCUGCUUGUGGACCUCAUCAACUCCCUGCCGCUGUACUCACUGGGUCUUCGGCUCUGUCGGCCCUACAGGCUGGCGGCUGGUGUGAAGUUCCGUGUCCUCCAGCACGAGGCCGGCAGGCCCCUCCGCCUCUUGAUGCAGAUAAACCCACUGCCCUACAGCCGCGUGGUGCACACCUACCGCCUCCCCAGCUGUGGCUGCCACCCCAAGCACUCCUGGGGCGCCCUGUGCCGCAAGCUGUUCUUUGGGGAGCUCAUCUACCCCUGGAGGCAGAGAGGGGACAAGCAGGACUGAGGGAGCCGCCGGCUCACCCCGCACCACCACGGCCAGCCAUGUGCUCUGCCAGGGUGGCACCAGCUCAGCUGGCGCGUGUCCCGUGCUUUGUGGACGCUGCUGUGUGCUCCUGAACACGGCAGGCCCUGCUAUCACACCUUGGGCUUGGAGGUCAUUGGGGGUGAGCAGAUGUGAAGGUGGCCAGCCAGGCUGGCCGUGCUCCGUCACUGGCACUGCCUGCCUUGGGACCCGCUUCCCACAUGCUGCCGUCACCACGGUGGCGAGCACAGCAGCCCCAGGUGUCCAGAGCACUGCCCCAUGCCCACCCUGCGUACCCGGGUCCAGAGGGCCUGUCCACCACAGUAGCCCCAGGUGGAGGGCUGGUCUCCCUGGGAGCUCCCCGGUGGCUCUGCCCUGGCUGUGGGGGUGGAGGGACCUUCCCAGGAUGAACCCCCCAGUCCCAGGCACCCUCCAGCUCCCUCAGCCGAACAGCACCUGCAUCUGGGGGAUUGAAGCAGUCGCUGACCCCCGUCCCAGCCCCAGCCGGCCCAGGCCCUGACUCCCUGAACCACACGGGGUUUAUUUGCCGAUGUUCCCUGGAAAGGUCGCUUUGUGAAGGAGCCAUCAGCAGUCUGUGGGCAUCGCCAGGCUGCUGUGGGGGCGGGAGCAGCCUCAGUGUCAAGGGCCCACCCACUGACCCAGCCAUACCUAUUCGUGCACGGCGCCCCUGUAGCAGCAGGCCCUGGGGCCAAACCUGUCUCCCUUCAUGGGCCUCCCAGGGAAGGAGGAAGCCCUGCUGUGCGGACACCUCUGUGGCCCCCCCCAGGGGUGUGAGCAGCCUGGGGAGGGGGCCGUGGUACUGAGGCCGAAAGCGCCUGCCAGAUGGCACAGUCUGGGUGCGGGUGUUCCCUGUGAGCCCGGGUCCCCUUCGGGAGGGGAGCCUGCAGGUGCCAGCUGGUGAGGGGAUGACGUGCUGUGGGUGGGAGGAAGCAGUGCCCAUCUCAGCAGCACCAGGACUGCCUGGGACUCCCUGGUGACCCAGCACCGGGGAAGCCGUCAGCUGCUAUGACAAUAAAACCUGCCCCGUGUUUGG
rnacentral:sRNA from 1 species